rnacentral:tRNA from 1 species
GCCUGGCUGGCCCAGUCAGUGGAGUGUGAGACUCUUGAUCUCAGGAGCGUGAGUUCAAGCCCCACGCUGGGCG